rnacentral:lncRNA from 1 species
GUGCAAUGCUUCAUCCCCGGUGCCGUUCAAUCCCAGGUCGUUUUCCCUUUCAGCUGCAAUGCCGGGAUUUUAAAUAGCAGAGAUGAAAGGCCCCUGCCCCCGCCUCCCUCCUCCCCUGAGUUCAUGUAUUAUGAAUGAAACGGCAGCCUCGCUGCUUCCUGAGGUGCUCCACUUCAGGUUGGAGUGCAGUGGUGCUGUGUCUGGAGUUUGUUCCUGCCGUUGGGUUUGUGGUCUUGCUGACUUCAAGAAUGAAGCCACGGACCUUCACGAGAAAUAUUACGUUGUAUGGAUGUACCACUGUUUGUUUAUCCAUUCUUCAGGUGAAGGACAUGUGGGUUGUGCCCAGCGCGGGCUGAAUAAAGUCCAUCGCCUUGGCUUAGUGCAUGUCACCAAAAAUUCUCCAGGAAUUUCAUAGUUUGGACCUUGGUGGCAUGGCUGGCCCUGGAUUAUCCAUGCAGGGAGGCCUGAUCCUGUGACAGCUGGCUGCAGCAGGGGGCUGCCCAUCUUCUGUGCUUUGUGGUACAUAUCUGUGUCACCAAAGUAGCGGCCUCGGUACAGCAAGCCUUUCAUCUGCUGCUUCUCCGUCCAGCAGUUGUUCCAGAGGUUGGCGAUAUAAUCAUCUUUCACAUUCGGUUUGACUGUUUGGAGGCUGGAGCCUGUGUACUCCUCGGAGAAAAUGCCUGCCACAUAGUAGAUGACACUCAGGUGGUCAGUGACUCGCCUGUGAUGUGGCCCACAAACAGUCUUGGGCUCAGACUGUAGGGUGGACUGGAGACCAUGAGCUGGCUGAGAGCUGACAUGAGGAUGAGGAUGGGUAUCAGCUGCACGAACACCCGCAAGCUGCCGUCACUCCGCUUCUCCCUGCAGCCCUGCCUUUGCUGAUACACACACAGGCACAUUGGAAACGCAGUAGAAAAUGGCUGCCAAUUUAAAACCAGAAGUUAAGAAGAGCAAACUCGAAUGUACAGCAAGAGAGCUUCAGGCUGGACUGGCUUCCAGCAGAAGUGGGACUGGAAACCUCGGAUUCUAUUGUCUCUUCUCUGUGAAGUGGGAAAACAUGUCAGUAUCUGAACUUGAGCUUGGUAAUUACUGCUCAUUUCUCAACCUUUUCCAAGCCACGUAACUCCCCUAAGGCUUAGUUUUCUUAUCUGUGAAUUGCGAGAUGGUAUGUUCUUCAUCACGAGGUUGCUAUAAAGACUGAAUGAGAUAAUGUGUGUGGAAGCACCAAGCAUGGUCCUUGGCAUGCAGUAGAUGCUCAAUAAAUAUGAACUGGAGUACACAUGCACUCUGCUCCCUCCUGCCCCCUCAUAGUGCCUGGUCUGGCUCUGGGCUCCCUGGGAUAUGGCAGGUUACCAAAGCAGGCACUAAGGCAUGUCUACCCUUGGUACCUUAUUACCUAGGUUUCCUGUGCCACCUGCUUCAUUCUAAUCGCAGAUUUCAGGCUCCAUUCAAACAGAACCUCACUUCUGCUAGCUGUCAUGCUCAAAAAGGGACUGAUGACCACUGAAGCAGGCUAUGAUAGUGAUUUAUGAAUGUCAUUCCUCCAGACAGCAUUUGGAUUAUUACUGGUUUUGCUUUUAUUUUAUUUGGCG